rnacentral:rRNA from 1 species
UGGCGGACGGGUGAGUAACGCGUGAGUAACCUGCCUUCAAGAGGGGGAUAACAUUCUGAAAAGAAUGCUAAUACCGCAUGACAUAUCGGAACCACAUGGUUCUGAUAUCAAAGAUUUUAUCGCUUGAAGAUGGACUCGCGUCCGAUUAGUUAGUUGGUGAGGUAACGGCUCACCAAGACCGCGAUCGGUAGCCGGACUGAGAGGUUGAACGGCCACAUUGGGACUGAGACACGGCCCAGACUCCUACGGGAGGCAGCAGUGGGGGAUAUUGCGCAAUGGGGGCAACCCUGACGCAGCAACGCCGCGUGAAGGAUGAAGGUUUUCGGAUUGUAAACUUCUUUUAUUAAGGACGAAAAAUGACGGUACUUAAUGAAUAAGCUCCGGCUAACUACGUGCCAGCAGCCGCGGUAAUACGUAGGGAGCAAGCGUUGUCCGGAUUUACUGGGUGUAAAGGGUGCGUAGGCGGCUUUGCAAGUCAGAUGUGAAAUCUAUGGGCUCAACCCAUAAACUGCAUUUGAAACUGUAGAGCUUGAGUGAAGUAGAGGCAGGCGGAAUUCCCCGUGUAGCGGUGAAAUGCGUAGAGAUGGGGAGGAACACCAGUGGCGAAGGCGGCCUGCUGGGCUUUAACUGACGCUGAGGCACGAAAGCGUGGGUAGCAAACAGGAUUAGAUACCCUGGUAGUCCACGCUGUAAACGAUGAUUACUAGGUGUGGGGGGUCUGACCCCUUCCGUGCCGGAGUUAACAAAGG